AUGCAAAUCGCCUGAAAUACUCUUGUAGGUAUGCGAAUAUAUAUAAGUCAGUAACAUAUGCCUCCCCGGCAUAGACAGG
rnacentral:sRNA from 1 species